rnacentral:RNase_P_RNA from 2 species
CCAGAGGGCCGGGCGGCCGCGGGCUCCUUCGGGAGCGCGAGGAAAGUCCGGGCUCCACGGAACAACGGUGCCGGGUAACGCCCGGCGGCCCCGAGCGUGUCGAGGGGUCAGGGAAAGUGCCACAGAAAGGAUACCGCCCGGCUUCGGUCGGGUAAGGGCGAAAGGGUGCGGCAAGAGCGCACCGCGUCUCCGGCAACGGGGGCGGCAUGGCAAACCCCACCGGGUGCAAGACCGAAUAGGGGCGGCACAUGGGCUGGUUCCGGCUCGUCGCCCGGGUUGGUCGCUUGAGCCUGUCGGUAACGGCAGGCCUAGAGGAAUGGUCGCCCAGGUGCAGCAAUGCGCUGGACAGAACCCGGCUUACAGGCCCUCUGGCAUU